rnacentral:rRNA from 1 species
GACGAACGCUGGCGGCGUGCCUAAUACAUGCAAGUAGAACGCACAGUUUAUACCGUAGCUUGCUACACCAUAGACUGUGAGUUGCGAACGGGUGAGUAACGCGUAGGUAACCUGCCUGGUAGCGGGGGAUAACUAUUGGAAACGAUAGCUAAUACCGCAUAAUAUUAAUUAUUGCAUGAUAAUUAAUUGAAAGGUGCAAUUGCACCACUACCAGAUGGACCUGCGUUGUAUUAGCUAGUAGGUGAGGUAACGGCUCACCUAGGCGACGAUACAUAGCCGACCUGAGAGGGUGAUCGGCCACACUGGGACUGAGACACGGCCCAGACUCCUACGGGAGGGAGCAGUAGGGAAUCUUCGGCAAUGGACGAAAGUCUGACCGAGCAACGCCGCGUGAGUGAAGAAGGUUUUCGGAUCGUAAAGCUCUGUUGUAAGAGAAGAACGGGUGUGAGAGUGGAAAGUUCACACUGUGACGGUAUCUUACCAGAAAGGGACGGCUAACUACGUG